rnacentral:lncRNA from 1 species
CAUAUGCAGGAAAAAAAAAUGCAACAUCUUUAAGUUUUAACUAAAGCUUGUCAGUAUAAAAUUAGCCAUUAAAAUGAAACGGGGUAUUUAUCAAUUUAAUUCCAUACACCACACCAGAACCAUAGUAAGCACCACCUGGAUUUACUUAGACAUAUAGAAAUCUUCUGCUUGGUACUACAAAGCAACUAUGGAUUUCACAUCCUUAAUUUUAACAUCUAACAUCUAUAGAUUGUCUCCGAUACAAGGGUUCAGAUAAUGUUGGUUCCAUGGAGCUGGAUGGUCUUGCUGGGC